rnacentral:rRNA from 1 species
GAUGAACGCUAGCUACAGGCUUAACACAUGCAAGUCGAGGGGCAUCAGGAAGAAAGCUUGCUUUCUUUGCUGGCGACCGGCGCACGGGUGAGUAACACGUAUCCAACCUGCCCUUUACUCGGGGAUAGCCUUUCGAAAGAAAGAUUAAUACCCGAUAGCAUAAUGAUUCCGCAUGGUUUCAUUAUUAAAGGAUUCCGGUAAAGGAUGGGGAUGCGUUCCAUUAGGUUGUUGGUGAGGUAACGGCUCACCAAGCCUUCGAUGGAUAGGGGUUCUGAGAGGAAGGUCCCCCACAUUGGAACUGAGACACGGUCCAAACUCCUACGGGAGGCAGCAGUGAGGAAUAUUGGUCAAUGGGCGCUAGCCUGAACCAGCCAAGUAGCGUGAAGGAUGAAGGCUCUAUGGGUCGUAAACUUCUUUUAUAUAAGAAUAAAGUGCAGUAUGUAUACUGUUUUGUAUGUAUUAUAUGAAUAAGGAUCGGCUAACUCCGUGCCAGCAGCCGCGGUAAUACGGAGGAUCCGAGCGUUAUCCGGAUUUAUUGGGUUUAAAGGGAGCGUAGGUGGACUGGUAAGUCAGUUGUGAAAGUUUGCGGCUCAACCGUAAAAUUGCAGUUGAUACUGUCAGUCUUGAGUACAGUAGAGGUGGGCGGAAUUCGUGGUGUAGCGGUGAAAUGCUUAGAUAUCACGAAGAACUCCGAUUGGGAAGGCAGCUCACUGGACUGCAACUGACACUGAUGCUCAAAGGUGUGGGUAUCAAACCAGG